GAUGAACGCUGGCGGCGUGCCUAAUACAUGCAAGUCGAGCGAACGGACGAGAAGCUUGCUUCUCUGAUGUUAGCGGCGGACGGGUGAGUAACACGUGGAUAACCUACCUAUAAGACUGGGAUAACUUCGGGAAACCGGAGCUAAUACCGGAUGAUAUUUUGAACCGCAUGGUUCAAAAGUGAAAGACGGUCUUGCUGUCACUUAUAGAUGGAUCCGCGCUGCAUUAGCUAGUUGGUAAGGUAACGGCUUACCAAGGCAACGAUGCAUAGCCGACCUGAGAGGAGGAUCGGCCACACUGGAACUGGGACACGGACCAGACUCCUACGAGAGGCAGCAGUAGGGAAUCUUCCGCAAUGGGCGAAAGCCUGACAGAGCAACGCCGCGUGAGUGAUGAAGGUCUUCGGAUCGUAAAACUCUGUUAUUAGGGAAGAACAUAUGUGUAAGUAACUGUGCACAUCUUGACGGUACCUAAUCAGAAAGCCACGGCUAACUACGUG
rnacentral:rRNA from 1 species